GGAGUGUUCAGUCAUUGACAAGUUGGAGAAGCCAACUGACACACCUGAUCACGGUAAUCAGCAUAGAGAACAAACCAGAAGGGACACUGGCCCUCGAGGACCGGACCUUGACACAUGUGCGUUAGAAGGGGAAUAUCCUAUGUUUUAGAGAGGUCAGUGAAGGCCUCAUCAACGGUUUUUGGUAGUCGUCGGCCAAAGCGGGAUCGAGAUGAAGAAGAUGCGGUCAGUGCGGGAGUUGGGGAGAAGAGAAAGCGGAGACAAAGGGGAAAAAAAGAUUUGACAAGUUGUGAUUAUCGUGGUAUGAAAGUGCUAGCAGCCGUUUGUUGUUUCCUCCAGUCUGGAACAGAUUGGGUGCCGUAAGAGUAAAUUAUCGACGAGGAGCUAGCUUGGCCGCAUCGUGCUAGCUGCUUCGAAAACACGGACUGCACGUGGGGAGAAAGUGUGCGCCAGUCAGUGUGGUGCAGUAUGAAUGUGACCGCAAACGCUUGGUGGACUUCUCAGAACCAGCUAAAUGAGCCUGGUCUAAUGACGGUCGCCGGAACUCUUCGUGCCACGUUUUGGUCCAGCGGAACAAAGGUUUGAAAGCGAGGGUGGACGUCAUUCAGGGUACCAGGAACAGUGAGUAGCCAUAAAAACGCACAACAGGAAACCACAUGAGCUCCAACAUGCGCGCCAACGAUAUGGUACCAUAGACUGCUUUGAACAAAGUUCCAGGUGGUGUUUAUUUGUUCUUUGAAAAUAUAGGAAGGGGAAUAUUUAUAAAAGAGAGUUUAUUUUAUUUGUUUGUCUUUUUUGUGUUCAUCUGUUAUGACCUACUGUGUGAUGUGUAAUAUAGAGAAUUGAACCACUUUUUUUUUCCUUUGAGAGGCACUGGAGUUACAGAUUACAUACAGUAGUAGUGAAGCUACAACAUAACUACCCAGGCCUCUAUGCACCUUAGUCAGAGUCAUACGUAUUAUGUGCUAUUGGUUAUUAUUUUUCUUUAUUGGUUAUUUACAUUUAGUUGACCCUGCACUCAUUCUGCUCCCGUACACAUGUGUUCAAGGUCUAGAUUUCAAGAUAGACCCCUGAUUUUACACACAUAUAGCCAAGUGAGUGGGGAGGGGGCUACGCGUGGGCUUUCUAUGGGAUCACAGUUUUAUAUUUCUGUGGAUAAAGUGAAGUAAUAAAAUUUGUUCUUAAUUUUUUAAGACAGUGUAAAAAUAUUUUUAACUAUAGGCUUAAAGCUCGCCUAUCUGUGGUUUAAGGGUUUUCUUAACAGCUUGUGUUUUUCUGUUUUUGUAACAUGGAGUCUGAACAAAUUCUUAAGUGGUGUGAAGACAAGUGUAUUGAUCUACAACAAGCAAUUGUACUGAGUGGGGUAUCUAUUGAUGUAACUAAUGAGGUGGUUUACAAAAUAUUGGAUUGAGUUAAAAUAUUUGGUCAUUGCAAAAUAAGGGGGGGGUGUUUAGGACACAGUGCCAAAAGCCAACUGGUUCUAGUUAAGACUUCCAAAGACAUGUAAAAGUUGUUUUGUUGUUUAAGGGUCAGUAAACCCAAUGACACUGCUAAUGACUACCUAAAGGCUUAGGAAACUGCAUUUGGUGCUACAGAUGGAGCAGCAGAUCUCAUGGUGAAGUUUUAUAACACAUUCCAGCAAGAAGGUGAAAAACUGUUUUCAUACCUACUUAGGCUAGAUAAACUGUGGCAUGCAGUCCAUCGCAAAGGUGGAGUUAAAGUGGCACACUUUUAACCCAUUAGCUAUCAAGCCACUUUUUAAUAAUUGACAUACCAAAAAUCUAUAUAUAAUGCUAUUACAACACUAUAAUAUUACAAAUUAGGCAGGAUGGUUGAAUCUGUAGCCAUCCAUCCAGAAACACCGAGCUUUGGGUUGGAUGAUAUCUGUCGGUGAGGAAAGUGAGAGGGAGACAGAAAAAAUGCACAAAGUUACAUGCAGAACAAUGAUGCCAGGUGUGCGGUCAGUAGUGUGGUGGCAUAGGCCUAUAUCGCUUACACAGAUGGAGCUGACGCGGGUGAGGGUCAGAUGAUGCCUCUAUGUGAGGUCAGAAUGAGAGGAAGACCGUGAGGGAGAAAGAAGUACUCGAGAGAAAACACAAGUUAGUUACACAUACAACUAGAAUACAUGAACUUUGAAUUGCAUCUGAAUAUAUGAACUUUGAAUUGCAUUUGAAUUAUACUAUAUUUGUAUAACAAAUGUGCAACUAUACACACACACUGACAGCACUUCUCUUUUAGAGACCCAUCUUGUCAUGCCAGGCAUUGAAGCAAUCUCUCUUUGCAAUCUAAAAAAGCACAGAGAGAGAUUGCAGGUGCAGCAAUACACAGGCGUUUUUACAUGGCAAAGUGCACAUCUACGCCUGAGCUCUGUGCCAUCAGUGCUGUAGUACAUCGGCCUAUGAUACUUAGGCUGGACAGUGUUGUAAUAACUGAUGAGGCCAUCUGAUAUGUCAACUCCCGCCAUGCUCCUGUUGUACUUUUUUAUUGCAGCUGGAAUUGACACAUGUCUUUUGGACCAAAUUCCUGUGGUUCCCUUGACCCUCUAGACAACCGUCUCUCCAUCAAAUGCUUUGUGCAUUGUGGAGCACAUCGUUACCUAACUUGUGUUCCUCCAGCGUACAAAAAGAAGCUGCUUCUCCCUGAGCCACCGGAUUGUUCUUCGUGGAGUGCGUCUUGGCAUACCAUUCAACUGUGUCUUUGGAAAGCCUGUUCUGUUAGGUCUAAUUGUCCCACAAGCGAGGAUCUUCUUUUGAAACGGGUCUCUUGAAAAGUGUAGGACUGGUGUAGAAAUUGUCCACAAACAAUUUCUAACUAGUUCCUAAAACUUUUACGUCCACCAGCUUCAUGACAGAGUCAUAACUCAGCCCCUUGGCGUGCUCCAGCACCGCCUUUCCUUGAUGCACGAAAAAGAUUCAUGUGUAACCACAAUUGGAGUCAGCCAACAAAAACAACUUGUAGCCCCACUUGUUUGGCUUGUUUUUCAUGUAUUGUUUCAAACCACUUCUCGCCUUUGACUUCACCAUACGCUCAUCUACAGAAAUGGCUUGAAACGGAUGCAAAUAGCUUUUACAUGUCUGCACAAUUUGCUCAUAGAGCGGCCGAAUCUUGCACAGGCGGUCAUAAGCUUGUGUUUCUUUUUUGUCUUCGUUUUCAACGUCCACCUUGGGGUCACUGAGAUGCAGCAAGGACAGAGUCUUCCAAAACUUGUCUCUUGACAUAAUGAAGGAAACGGGUUGGAAAGCAUUGUACACCUUCUCCAGUAAUCAUUUAGUAAGGGACACUUGCUAAUGCCCAUUUAAAUGGCUUCUAACCUUGCCGAAAAGAAAAGCUGAAACAAGUUCAAUGGCGAGUAUAAUUCUGUCAUAACUUUGUAGUAAAUGCAUUGCCACGACCCUUCAAAGAUUGAAGCUGUGAAGUCCUGGCCACGGCCUAGUAAUACUACUGCUCUCCAGUCAUUUCUUGGCUUUUGUGGUUACUACAGAGGUUUGUUAAAGAUUACAAUAUACAAUACAAAUUACCCUGCUUUAGAAUCAUUUGGAUCCAGAGGGGAUAAAAACUGAGAGUGCUUUUGAGACCCUAAAGAAAAGCCUUACUGAGGCACCUGUCAUGGCCAUAGGUGACCCAAACAAACCAUACGUCCUGCAGCGAGGAUCUUCUUUUGGAACAGGUCUUUAAAAAGUGUAAAACAGGUGUAGAAAUUGUCCACAAACAAUUUAUAACUAGUUCCCAAAACGUUUACGUCCACCAGCUUCAUGACAGAGUCAUAACUGAGCCCCUUGGCGUGCUCCACCCCCGCCUUUCCUUGAUAAAUUAAAAAAAAGUUACAUGUGUAACCACAACUAGAAUCAGCCCACACAAACAACUUGUAGCCCCACUUGUUUGGCUUGUUUUUCAUGUAUUGUUUCAAACCACUUCUGGCCUUUGACUUCACCAUACGCUCAUCUACAGAAAUGGCUUGAAACGGAUGCAAAUAGCUUUUACAUGUCUGCACAAUUUGCUCAUAGAGCGGCCGAAUCUUGCACACACGGUCAUAAGCUUGUGUUUCUUUUUUGUCUUCGUUUUCAACGUCCACCUUGGGGUCACUGAAAUGCAGCAAGGACAGAAUCUUCCAAAACUUGUCUCUUGACAUAAUGAAGGAAACGGGUUGGAAAGCAUUGUACACCUUCUCCAGUAAUCAUUUAGUACGGGACACUUGCUAAUGCCCAUUUAAAUGGCUUCUAACCUUGCCGAAAAGAAAAGCUGAAACAAGUUCAGUGGCGAGUAUGAUUCUGUCAUAACUUUGUCUAGCAAAUGCAUUGCCACGACCCUUCAAAGAUUGAAGCUGUGAAGUCCUGGCCACGGCCUAGUAAUACUACUGCUCUCCAGUCAUUUCUUGGCUUUUGUGGUUACUACAGAGGUUUGUUAAAGAUUACAAUAUACAAUACAAAUCACCAUGCUUCAUUUGGAUCCAGAUGGGACUCUAAAGAAAAACCUUACUGAGGCUCCUGUCUUGCAGGAGUCCUGGCAAUAGGCGACCCAAACAAACCAUACGUCCUGCACGUUGAUGCAAGCAGGGAAGGGUUAGGAGGGGUCCUCUAUCCGGGCUAAGGAGGUGUCUUGCGCCCAGUUGCUUUUGUAAGCAGAAGUCUCACUGCUUUAGAAAAGAUUUAUCCUGCAAACAAGCUUAAGUUUUUGACUUUAAAGUAGGCUGUCACAAAUAAGCUGCAUGACUACCUCUAUGGGACCAAGUUUAAGGUUCAUACGGAUAACAAUCCUUUUACAUAUGUCCUAACUACAGCUAAGUUGGAUGCUGCCGGACAUCUCUGGCUAGCUGCGCUGUCAGGAUAUGAUUUCAACCUGAAAUGCCCUGGAAAACUAAAUAUUGAUUUCAAUGUUUUGUCCUGCUGCCCUCAGACAAACAGCAACAUGCUUCAGGCAGAGAAGGAUGACAUGUCUGCUGCAACCAUCCAAGCCAUCUGUCAAAUAGCACCUAUCCGUCCACACGGUUGUAAAGAUCCAUUAACCUAAUUUGCACAUCCAAAAAUCCAGUGCCAAAAGCUUUUUGCCACUUGUCUUCCUUGAGUACUCAACAGCUCUCCAAAAGAGACCACACACUCUCAGCAGAAAGCUGAGCCCAUGUAUUAGAGAAGUUUGGUGCACAAUUAUUCAGGGAAAUGUCAGUAAUGCUAACAAAGAAAAACAUCAUGAUAUGACACUCUUUCCCAAAGACUGGAAUAAGCUGAAAGUUAAAGACUCUGUGCUGUACAGAAUUGGUAAACCACCCAACAAGGCAGUGCAAUAGCAGAUGUUGUGCCCAGAGGAGUUUAGGGCCACUGUACUCCAGUCUUUGCAUGACCAGUGUGGCCACCUUGGGUUUGACAAAACCUAAAGUCUAGUUAGAGCUAGGUUUUAUUGGACUUGCAUGAAGAUGCAAGUGGAAAGGUACUGUAAGAACUGUGCCAGGUGUAUUCAGAGGAAGACCCUGCCUAAGAGAGCAGCUGAUCUGUCACAUUAGUGACAGAUCAGCAAGAUCCAUUGGCACAGUAAUGGGCCAAUGGAUCUUGUCUGUAUGGAUUUUCUGACAGUUGAGCCUGAUUCAAGGUACAUCUGUAAUGUGUUAGUAAUUACUGACCACUCCUGUGAACUCCUCCUAAUAGUGGUAUUUUACACCUGUUUCAUUUUAAUUUGGACAUUAACUUUUGCAUUUUCUUUUAAGGGGAUUGUUCUAUGUUUAGAGAGGUCAUUCAAGGCCUCAUUUGUUUUUUGGGGGGACUAAAGAGAGGUUGGGAAGAAGGUGUGGUCAAGCGGGAGCUGGGGAGAAGAGAAAGCAGAGACGAACUGACACAAAGAAUCAACAAGCGGUGAUUAUCAUGAUAUGAAAUUACUAGCAGCUGUCCGAACGGAGCCAUUUGUUAUUUGCUCCAGUUGGGAACAGAUUGGGCGUGGUAAAAGUAAAUUACCGGCGCUUACAGAGGAGCUAGCUUGGCUGCAUUGUGCUAGCUGCUGGGAAGAAACUGCACAUAGGGAGAAAUGCUGCAGCAGCUUCAGGGUGGUGCAGUUUGGAUGCCACCCCAAACGCUUAGUGGACUGCUCAGAACCUGCCAGCUAAAGGAGCCUGGUCUUAUGACUGUCGCCGGAUCUCUUCAUUGCAAUGCUUUGGGCCAGGGGAACGAAGGUUUGAAAGUGAGGGUGGACGCACAGCAGGAAACCACAUGAGCUCCAACAUGCGCGCCAACGAUAUGGCACCAUAGACUGUUUUAAAACAAAAUCCCAGGUGGUGUUUAUUUGUUGUUGUUUUUUUUUUCAAAUAUAGGAGCGGAAUUAUUAUGACUUUUUUUUUUUUUUUUUUUAGACUUGGAUUAUUUUACUUUGAUUAUUAUAUUUGUCUCUGUCUUUGUUUGUUCUUCUGUUUUGACCAUAAAAAGAAUUGAACCUUUUUUUUUUUUCUUUGAGAGGCACUGGAGUUACAGAUCACAUACAGUAGUAGUGAAGCUACAAUACUACCCAGGCCUCUAUGCACCAUAGUCAGUCAUACCUGUUAUUUGCUAUUGGUUAUUACUUGGUUAAUUGGUUAUUUACAUUUAGUUGACCCUGCACUCAUUCUGCUCCCGUACACAUGUGUGUAAGGUCUAGAGGUCAAGAUAGACCCCUGACUGUACACACAUAUAGCCAAGUGGAGGGGGCUACAUGUGGGUUUUCUAUGUGGUCACUGUUUUAUAUUUCUGUGAAGGAAUACAUUUUUUUCUUAAUUUCUUUUGUAAAGCAUAUUUAAGACAGAAGUUAGGUGAGCUUUAAGCCCAUAUUUAGCUAUCUGUGGUUUAAGGUUUUUGUUCACAGCUUGUGUUUUUCUGUUUUUGUAACAUGGCGUCUGAACUAAUUCUUAAGUGGCGUGAAGACAAGUAUAUUGAUUUACAACAAGCAAUUGUACUUCGUGGAGUAUCUAUUGAUGUAACUAAUGAGGUGGUUUACAAAAUAUUGGCCCAGGCCUCUGUGCACCUUAGUCAAAGUCAUACCUAUUACAUGCUAUUGGUUAUUACUUUUGUUUAUUGUCUGUUAACAUUUAGUUGACCGUCUACUCAUUCUGCUUUCGUGCACAUGGGGUAUAAGGUCUAGAGGUCAGGAUAGACCCCUGACUGUACACACACGCGCGCGCACACACGUUAUUCCUCCCACAUGGGGUCCACCAGACUAGCAGAUUACGCAUGUUACGUUUGUAGUUGUAAUAAAGGCAUAAUCAUAAUGUACAAUUUUUUUUACACCCCUAAAAUUUUCUUUGAUACUAAAAUCUCUCAAGUUUACAACACUAAAUUUCUGUCACUGAAAACGUGCUUUCAACAGGCCUAUGGUCAUUUCCACCCAGGCUCUUGUUCUGCAGUGUGCCACAUUAAAGCGCUGCUGGGGGCCUGCUUCAGGUUCUGGGUAAGGGGUCAGUAGUGUGGGCUGGCAUGGGUAACCCCUAUCUCCCAGCAGAAAGCCGUCAAUCUCUCCUAGAAGAAAGUUUACAUUACUUUAGUGCUGCAUAGAAGUGUUCCUGUGAGUGUGUAGCUCAUGCAUUGAAAUAAGUUAAUAGGACAUACAUGUACUUACCACAGUGCAGCCUGUUACUUAGGGUUGACUCACGAUAUAUUCGCGAGUCAUGAACAGAGGGGCCACUUGGCCUCCAUGUUCGUGAUAAUAUUUGCAGCAUCACCACAUAUGAUCUUGGUGGUACAAGAAAAGAUACAUGUCAGUUACAGUAUAGUGAUGUAGUCCUUCACCGUAACAAAGACUAGUCAGUGUACCUGCACAUUUAUACUGUGGAUGGACCUCCUGUUCACAUAGUCCCCUUCAUUUUCAGAAGGUGCAUUGAUGGGAAUGUGUGCCAUCAAUGCAUCCAACCACAUUUGGAAAUCCUGAAGGAAAUUCUAUUCUAAUUAUUAGUUUAUUUCCAGAGGUCACAGCAAGAUGUUAUUAACUGAUCACCAUUUUUCACAAUAGCCUAACUGAAACGAAUUAAAUACCACAUACCUGCAAUCCUGUGAAACUCCUCUUUAAUUGCUCUAAGGGGUUUGUGGCCAGGAAACACAACAAAGAUCUGCAGAAAGUGCUUGAGGGCGAGGCACACUUUUCUAAUUACUCUGCAUACAAUGGCUUUACUAAUGUGGUCAGCAUCCCAGACGUUAUAAAGAAAACUACCGUAUGCAAAAAAAGUAACAACACAAAGAAUCUGCUCGGAUGUUUCUAAUUGUAAUAAAGGCAUUAAAAAGGCAUAUUCAUAAUGUAAAUUUUUUUAUACCACAAAAAUUGACUUUGGCACCAAAAUCUCUCUAAUUUACAACACUGACUUUCUGUCAGGUUUUUCCAUCCAGGUGAAGACACCUGGAGGUUUUCUUAUCACCGAUCACCACCAGGUGGCGAUUCUACAAAAUUACCUGUAGGUAAUUUACUUAUACAAAUUUAAAACCAUGAGUAAUACUUUGCAAAACUGUUUUAUUUGGCUCAAAAAAAUAUUAGGUACAGUACCUAUGCAUGUAUGCAUGCUUUCAUGUAGAAAAAGUACUUUGUCACAAUUCACAAAUGUCAACUACUACAAACCCUAAUUUAAACAAUAGAUUUUUUUUCUUGUUGACAUGUCCAAGUCUAUUCAAGAAGUUUGUUUUUCAACAAAUUCCAAAGUAAAACAUUGAUUCAAAAGGAAAGUGUGUUGCAUAUAGAUUUGCGGAACAGCAUACUGUAUGUCUAAAAAUGUGGGGCUCAUUUUAACUACUACACUCAAAAAAAUGAGAUGUUGUAUUUAAUUAAGUUUGUUAUGUCAACCGGUCCCACACAGUGUAGUUGAAUAAAUAGUAAUCAUUAUACCAAAUUAAAUGCCACAAGGUUUUCUUACAUUAAUGCAACUUUAUACCAUUAAUUAAAUGCAACUUUAUACCAUUAAUUAAAUGCUAUCUGUUGUAAUUACAUUCAUUCAACUUAAUACGAUUACGUUCAUGUACCUAAGACAAUUAUGUUCAAUUUAAUGAUGAUCAGAUAGCUGCAUUAAUGUUAUUGAUUGUUAUUAAUUGUACUUAAUUUAUGCUUGUGCUGUUUAAGUUAAAACUCAAAUAAAUACAACCCAAAUCACUUAACCUCAAUUUUAUUAGUGUUUUAAUGAAAGGAGGUCACAUUCAUAAAAUCUAGUGAAUCAUCCCACAAGGUAAAUGUAAAUGAUACAAAUCCAAACCAAGCUUAAAAAUAAUAAAUUAAAUCACAUGAAAUACAAAAAAUAAGUGCAACAGCAAUAAUGAAUAAUUGCUUUUCAAAGUGCGCACUGAAAGCAAAUCUGUAAACCUCUUGAGUAUACAUUUUUGUACAAGGACAUUCAGAUGUUCCAAUAAGACAAUAUUUGUAUAUUGUACGUAGAUACAUACAUACAAACAAUUGUCUUUCACAGCCCAAAAAUAGUAAAACACAUUUAACAAACAAAACAGUGUGGCUUCUGAACAAUGAGCCUUAAUGCUAGAAGUAGUGAAAAAAAAGCCUGAAUAUCUUUCCAGUGCUCUCCAAAAACAAUUUCAAACCAUAAAUUUCAAAAUAACAUUUCCCAGGUCCCAGUUUAGUUCAAGAAACACUGCCAUUUGCAAUAUAUUUUAAUGUUUCAAACCAGUCAUUUUAAAACAGUUGUUGGAUAAUAGAAAUAAAAUAAAAAAUUGUGCCCUAAAUGUGGGUGUUUUUACAGGACAGCUGGGUGAAACAGCACAUUUGAUCCAACAAGACAGAAGUGGGAAAGACUUCAGGAUAUUGUUUGCACAUAAACAUAAAUAUUCAUUCAUAAAGUUUGUUUUUGAAGAUUUGCAUUUUGAGUGACAGCUUGGCACCAUCCAACUCCAUCGGAACUUUCUGAAAAAACUCAAGUGUAUUUCAGGUCUUUGGGGUAGCUCAGGUUUAAACAAUAGAUAAGGCCAAGUAGAAGGGCACAUCCAUGCGCCACAUCCUUUAAAUCUUGCAGCACUUCACAUCCUUCGAUGAUAAUGCCCACAUCUGCAAGUGCGUAAGUGGGCUCUGCUCCCUCAUGUCGAACAGCAUAGACCCCCAAGACCAGUUGUUCAUUCUCUCUUGCUGCUUCCAGAUCAACAUCCUUCAAACAAUGGAAAACCAUCAAUUCAAUAUAUCAAAUUUUGUUUUUAACUGAGUAAUAUUUGUCCCCAUGUUCAGAACUGAAUGCAUGAUUAGAACUACAAGUAAACAAAGAACAGCAAUUCUAAAACUGUAAACAUGACAUAUCAACUAAUCAUCUAAUAAUUAAAAAAAUUAAAAAAAACAACACUUACCAAGUGCUCUUUAACAAGACAUUCGGGUUUCACGUUUAGGUAAGCACAGAUUGAUUUAAGAAUGCAUUCACGUCGUACCUCCACACAGGGAUUCUGUGGAAGACCAAGAAAAUCAAAAGUGUAGGUCCGGAUGACCCAAAAUCUAUUAGGAACGCAGGACAAACUUCUAUAAAAGCACAGGUAAUUAUAAAAGUAAAACAAAGAGAGGGUUAUGUUCAUAGCUGUAGCUGUAUUAUCAAGAUCAUGUAAUAAAGCAUAUUUGAACCGGAUGAGAGAGAAAAUAUUAACAGAAUGAAACAAGCAAAAAAUAACCAAGUAAGACUAAACCCAUGGUCAUCGCCUACAUUACACAAAUAUAUGCACAUACCUUGUUCAUGGCUGCCAUGAUGACACCAAUUUGCCAUCCUACUGCUCCACCCUUCUUUAACACCUUCAUUAAUUAGCUGGAGUAGUGAUCCAGCCGUGACAUUAAGGUUGACAGCAGAGGAACUGUAGUGAUGCGUGUAAAUUCUGCAUUUAUCUGUAGUUGAAUACAGGCAGCACAAGCAACAAUCAACUAAAUUUUAUAUUGUUUAUACAAAAUGUAUCCGCUGAUGUUUGAGAAAAUAGUAGGUUAAUGAAAUGAUAAAUUUAUAAUUACAACAAAAUUAUAACGAAAUAAUCUUACCUCAUUUUCCAUAAACAGUGCUGGCCAUCUGUUUUUAAACUCAGCAAUGAAGGGCAUAUCCUUGAUAAGCUCCUGGCGACUGUGUGCAAAUGUUCUUUCCAUUUUUCUUCUGAUAGCUGCUGAUUGCGUUUUUUCGUUGCCAUCUCCAAGACAACUUCUUGCCUUUCUUUUUCAAGAGUCUCUCUGGUUUCCCCUGAAGGAUAGUCCGGGCAGAAAUUCACUUCAGCUUUUCGUGGCUUCUUUAUUUGGUUUGGACUAUAGCCCAUGGAACUUCGCUUUUUUGCGGAAUUUAUACUCAGUUCUGAGCAGCCAAUAUUUCUAAGCCUAGUUCGGUAGUUGGCCAUUUUGUACUUUAAGCUUAUCUUCCAUCCAUAGAAGCCAGUGACAGAUCCUUGCUCUUUUAAACAGGGAUACUUUUUUACCAAAGCGAGUGCCACAUCAUCCAACUCUGCACCUGAAGGAUAUACUUUAAAUUUAACAAUUUCAGAUGCCAAAGCAUCCAGUAUAUCGGAUUUGAGUUUGGUACUUAGAUUUAGAUGUGUUCCAUUGUUGAAGUUAUUGUUGGCCUUUUGUAACUGAAUGUCUAUCUCAUAGCUGAAUUGAGGUAUUUGAAAGGUUUUGGGCCAAGGCUGUGACCGAAGGGAGGAACCUGAAGAUGUAGAUCCAGACGUAGAAGGAAUGUCAGUAUCUGCUGCUAAGGACAAUGAAGAACUUUCAUAUAUUUCCUGCAAAGUUGAUUAUGAGCUUCCAACUAUCUGUGCCUCCUCUGGCAAGUAAAUUAAAAUAAACUUUAAUUGUGCUCUUGUCCUUGAUUUCAGAUGUUGAGGUCAAGUUCACAAACUCGUCAAAUUCAACAUCUCUGUAUUGCAAUCUGAAAUUUCCCAACAAGCCAAAGUGUGUCCUGAUCUCUUCUUUAAGGCUGUCCAUUGAAUCUGGUAUCCCAGAGGAUAGGCUUAACUUUGAUGCGUCGUCAAGUCCUAGUAUGACCCUAAGAGUUGCAGACAUCUUGUGCUUAAUCUGUGGAACAAAAAAAAAGUUAAAAAAAAAAAAAAGAAAUCGAUAUACUUAUUCUUUAACAAUGUUCAAUUAGGAGAUAACUUGACAUAUGGAUAUAACAAAAUAUAUUGAAUAUAACUAUGUAUUAAUUAAACUACAAAUUUUGCUCUAGUACAUAACUAAAAGACAGACACAAUGAGUCAGUAAUUUCAGCAUGCAGUAUCUCAAGACUUACGGGCCUACGAACAGGCCAACAGGCUUACGACUUCUUUUCUACUGUUCAGUUGCAAUUCAUUAAUUCAGUUUUGCUGAGAAGUUUGAAUCAUGAAACAAUACAUUUAUCAAGUUACCUUUCACAAGUAUAAAUCUUUUUAAAGUCACCAUUUGGAUGGACCCAACUUUGUAGUCCGCCAAAGGAUACAGGUCAGCAAGAUCCAUCAAAUCAGCCACUGACAGCUCUCUUGUUGGAUGCAACUCAAAGGCUCUGUAGUGCUCUCUAUACCAUGAGCACAUUUUUCUAAUGAUAAGACUCAAGUGGUCUUUUACAAUGCACAACUGAAUAAUCUCUGAAAACUCUGCCAGGCCCCCCACAUGAUCCAUGCACAACUAUCAUGCCUAUUUUUUAGUUAAUGCCAUUAACAGUGACACUUUUGGAAAUGUUUACAGAAGUGAUUUCAGGGUACUUAUGUGUAAGCUUAUGCACAAUAUCCUCGUUAAGGAUUUCAAUGGAGACUUUAGAGGUUUGUGUAACCUCCAAGGACAAGUUCUCAAUGUCAGGACGAAGCCUGUUAUAGGCCAUCAUUAACUGAUGUUUUGACGCUAGUGAAAACGCUAUGUUCCUGAAGUUGUUUGUAUGUCUAACAACUUUUUAAAAAAAGUUGUGCUUUGCCUCAAACCUUAUGGUCCACAAUGUUACAAGAGGACCAAAACAUUUAAUCAUUUCUGGAUAGUGCUCCAGGAAAUGAUGUUUAGGAAGCAGCUUUUCAUCUGGAAAGAGCUCCUGGUAUUGCCAUCUAUGCUCUAAGAUUUUGCACUCCAAAUAAGCAAUUGAUUCAAGAUUAUGAACAGGUGCUACUAAUUCUCCAAUAUCCUUAAGAUGCAAAAUCACCUACCAAGCAGGUUCAUCAUCAGGAAUAAGUGGCCCAAGAAUGAAAGGAAGUAAACGAAGUAGACACCAAUUUUUGUGGGCGUUGCCUCCUAUUGUGUGUUUGUUUUUUAAAGUUUUUGGUAAUAAAUGAGGACUAUUAGUUUCGUCUCCCCAUUUUUAAGGAAAUGAGUUAAGAAAAUUGACGUGUUCAAGAGUGAACAACUUCUUGGACAGAAGCACGUCAAUGCACUGAGCAAGUUCUACUGGAACUAUGCCUUCGAAAAGGUCGUGUACAAUGUUUGGAGGAUAGCCACUUACCACACUGAAAUAAGACAGACUAUUACUGUAGUUAAAACACAAGCCGUUUUUACCCCAAAGCAGCUCACGCCUUUAUCCUGAGCUUGGCUUAUGUGAAGCUGAUGAUUUUCCUUUGUCCUGCGCUCAAACACUCCAGAUUUCACUUCCUGCUUCUGAAUUUCAGAAAGCUGAGCUACACAAAAUCGGCAAAAGUAUUUACCCGAGAAACUCUCUACAAAUCCUGCUAACCUGUGAGCUCCCAAAUUAUCGGCUACCACACAGUGUACUGUGCCCUUGAUAAAAGACCCUAACUGUGGAACAAAGAGUCCUGCUCCAAGGUUACUAAAUCAAGCAAGAGAGGCUCAAAUGUUCUUUUAUAACCAAAUGCUUUAACAUAGUCACUUUUGCACAAUAAAGCCAGGUAGAUAGAAGACAGGGUUGAACUGGUACCAGGAAGCAAAUUACCUAAAAUCCAAUACACUGCACAAAGCUUGUGGUUUCUGCGUGAGGUUCCCAAUGGAUUGCAAACUUCAGAAUCAUCUACGUAUAAACACAGAAAUAUGUAAAUCACUGUCUGGGAAAAAAAAGGAUUGUUUUUGUAGUGGUUACCAUCCCGAAAAGACACAUACUGAUCAACAUUUGCAGAAUGGGCUGCGUGAUUUUCUACACCUUUAUCAACAACAUCAUUUCUACUGAACAGCUGUUGUAGAAUCUUUAGUAUAGGAACAUACUGAAAGGUUUUGUUAGACCUUGCCUCUAGUAUAUACACUCAACAGGUUCCACAACGUUAAAAUGUUCCUUAUAAUACUGGUGACGCUUAAAAGAUGAGCCUAGUGGACCAUCUUUAGCUAAAGCUUUAACUAAAGGAUUAUCAGCAGAAAUAGCAUGGCAUAGCUCAGUAAUUACAUGCUGAUCAAUCUGGAUGUCAUGUUUUUUAAAAACAUCAGCAGCGGUAAUGGUUGAUAGAGGCCCUGCAGUGGAGGAAAUGAUAAAAUGUAAAUCUGUCAACAAUUCAUCAACUGCAGAAUUUGGCACAUGUGACAAAACUUCUAAUUUCAAAAGGGAAGAUGCCAAUUUCCGAUUUAUUGUGUCUUGCAGGUUUUCAUUUUCUGUUAAAAACUCAUGCAAAUUGUGACUACCUAAAUCAGAACCAAUGUCUUCAAAGUCAGCUGAUGGCUCUUCACAUAACUGACCCUCAGUACUUCCAUUACUACUUUUUACAACCUCAACUUUAAAGUCUUUCACUGUGCAAUUGGCAUGCUUCCUGUUCUUAUGAGAUUUAAAAGUAGCGUAUGUUUGUUUGAAAAGUACAGUUCUGAAACAUACAACUCACUGUUUCAUACUGCUUCAAGUGGUUGUUAACAUGGGAAAAGUACUCUUUGCUGGAGGAUAAAACACUUCCAGGACACAAAGAACAUGUCAACAUUAUCAGCUCUGGACUUUUUUCAUGUAAACUAUCCACAUGACAUCGGCUUAAAUGACUUUUAAGAGCAUUCCAUGUUUUAAAUGAACAUGGGCAUUCAUAGUGUAUGCAUGGAUAUGAGUGUCUCAGACCAUACUGGCCAUGCUUUACAGUAGUUCGUAGUGCCUUAAUAACUGAUACCUAGUUGAUAAAGUUUCAGAACACUGUUUGCAUCUCCACAUUCAAAUUCUAAAAAAUAGAGACAUAGGCAAUGGUCAGAAUUGGUGAUAACUUCCGGGUUCCAGUAUACCAUCUAUCUAUAACUAUUACAAGUUUUAGAUUAGAAAAGAAUACUUAGAGAGCUCAACUCUCAUGAAAUAGACCAACUUCCCGCUGAAUCUAAAAUCUGUUACUCGGAAGAAUAACCUUGAACACAGAAUAAAAAGAAAGUGUAUUUCAUUUAAAUUUAAAUGGUUACAAUAUAGAAUCGUAAUUCAAGUGCUAUUGAGGUCAUUGAAAUUUUGCAACCCAAGCAAAAGUAACAACUGCAUUUAAAAAUACAUACUUUAAGUAGUUUUUCAUUAAUUAUAAAAACUCAACAAAACCUUAAUUCAUGCUUUUUCACUUUCAUGGUUUUGCAACACCCUUCUGUCGUUAUCGACAUCACCUAGUAAAACUAAUAAUAGAAAAAUAUAUAUGGACCUUAUAAUAUUACACGUGUCUUAUUCUUGCAUCUAAAUUAUAACUCGUGGGUGUUUUUAAAAGACAUGCCUUGUAAAAAGUAAUACACACUAACAGUAUCAUUUUAACUUCAUCAAGUGCAUUAACUUAAAAGUACAAAGAAGAUAUUUUGAAAACGAUGAACCUGACAAUAUUUUACAAAAAAGAUAUUUGUACUUACCAAAUAUUAAGUGGAUGCUAAUAGAUUUCACUGCGGAGCAACAUGCACGUGUCAAAGCGUUCAAAAAUGGUGUCAUCUGCAAUGCGCAUGCGUACCGAAAACUACGGAAAGUGUUUUGGGACAUUUGUUUCUAGGUUCAAUGCUGUUCGUGCGUUUUAAAUGAGUUAGUUAAAUUUGGUUCAAAUUAACAGUACAAUGUACGUUUGACAUCACAAUAUUACGUUGAUUCAACGUAGCUGGUUUGGGUUUGUCACUAAAAUUAACCUUUGUUCCUAGUUUCAACAUAAUACAGUGUAAUGCUAACAACACCUGAAGUUCAUUUUUUUUGAGUGUAUGAACCUAAUAUAACAUGUUAACGUUUGGUUUUACUAUACUGUAUACUCUGUAUAGACUUCUUAUGAACGUAAGAUUUGUAAAGAAUAGGGUGCAGGUAUAAGGUACCCUGUAAUAGUUGUGUGAAAUACCGUCAAUAUUCUAGCAUUGAUAAAAUGGCCACAAAUUAUAUAGCUGCCUUAAAAUGCAUGACUGGAGAAAUUAAAGUACAGAGAGAGAAAAUACAGACAUACAUUGCUAGCAGCAGACCAUCCUCGGUCACGUAAAAAAAGUAAAAAAUAUAAAUUAUGAUAUACAGAGUAACCGCUGCACAAUUAAAAAAAAAAAAAAGAAAGGAAUUCUUGUCUGUGGCAGGCCUAAAUCAGAACAGGCACUAGCACUUCACAAACAGCUUAGUUUAUUAGAAUUAUGAGACAUAAGAAAAGUCCCUUCCACUAAAACAAAAUGAUAUAGAACGCAAACACUGUACAGUACCUGUGUUAUCUUUCUCCCUUAGCAUGAAUGCAGAAAUGUAAAGACCUACCUUCUUUUGAAAGAUUCUCGCUUUAAAGAAUCAAUGCAAUUUUUUACGUAAAAUUUUACUCCCAAGAUCUUCCUCUUAAUGCUGCAGGGGAUUUCUCUAUGCAUUUCAGACAGUCUGUUUUUCCAGGAACUCUGCCAGAGAUGAUGUAGUCCAUCAUAGUCUUCUCGACAGCUUUGACUUCUUCUUCAGCCCACUUUCUUCUUUUAUUUUGGGAUAACCCUGCAUAAAGUAGACAAAGAGUGUCCUCAGUGACACAGUGAGAAUAGCAAUGUACACAAUACAGUGUUUAUCAAAAAAUGGAAUAAUUUGUGUAUACUGUUACAAAAGAAUAUAUAAUUAUCGAGCAACAGUUUGCUCGAAAGAAUCGACUUUGAGACUGCAAAAAGUCAUAUCAUUAAAGCGAAAAAGUGUCUAAACACAAGGGAUAUCACUUGUAUCUUAUGGUGGAUACAAUUUCACAAAUUUAACCAAACCAAUAAAUACUACAAAAAUCACAUCAGAUAAUGAGAUUACGUAGCUGCAGUGCAUCAAUAAAUGACUCCUUUUAACAAUCAGGGCUUAAUCCACACAGGAACAGUGUACCUACUUUACACACAAAUUUAACAAUGUUUCCUGCAAAUUUGGAUUUUACUUGCGAGGCUGAUGGCCAACUGUAAGAUGAAUACUGUGUCAUAUGAAAAUGCAUUGCUACAUAGCAAUAAUAAAAACAUAUAACCUGCAAUCAAAAGGAUUUAUUUGCCACAGUAUGUGAUUGCAUAUAAGAUAUUUUCUGACUUAAAACAUAAGCUGGUCUUGAUUAAAUUUUUGAUGUGAUGGAUUACUAUAUGCCAUCUUCAUCUCUUGUAUUUCACUCUGUACAGUAAUCUAACAUUUGUUUAGUGUGAUACCUUACACUAAAUAGAGCUGUUGUAUUGAAAUACAGCUCCUUCCAACGGGUGAGGACAUUACAGAAUGAUACCUUGAGAUAACUUUGUGAUUUGGCACAAUAUAAAUAAAAUUAAAAUUACUGUACCCUAUAUCUGGAAUGGACAAUUUUGGCUACUUACAGCACUGUUGCUUGUUUCUGCACCAAGCAAAUUGACAAUAACCAUAAUUGCCUGCUCAUUCAAGGCAGUGGGACUCAAUUCUUUCUCUAGCUCAGCUAACAUGCUAUGAAAUUUGACUAGGUUCAGACAUAAGCAUUACAGGACUUGUUUAGGAAUAUUCGCUGGUAUGCAUUACUAUUUUACACACAAAACAAACAAUCCCAGGAUGUUUGCUUCAACCACAGACUCAAAGAAGUGACUUAACUUGCAAAAAUAUAUUGUGGGCAUGGAAUAAUAGGUGAAUGUUGAUAGCGUAAAAAUAUUUUGUAACAAAAUAAAUAGUCAGUGCGUUUACAUGCACUCACUUAACCAAAGGCAAGUAUGCAGAGUUAUCCGGGGGAAAUCUCUCAAGUCCCUGAUUACAAGAACCAUGUUUUUCUACAGUACAUGACAAUAAGUAACCCAGUUACUUGAGCACAAGAGCAAACAUGUCAUAUCCUACCUGUUUCUUGCAUUCAGAAUGGAAGCCAUCGGUCAUAUCAGCAACUGUGAAAAAAUUACACAAAAUUCUUCAUUGUUACAUUUUGUCAUGCUGGUCACCAUAAUCUGACUGAAUUGAUAGAAAUUGACUUCAAAAUCUAUUCAUUAAUUUAGCAAUAGUUUUAGCUAUUUUAUACAUACAUGUAUCAUUAGAAUUGUGAUAGGUGUUACAAAUCAUGGAAGUCAAGGAUUAGAUCAACCCAACAGUCAAUAAAUUUAACAUAAGCCUUGUGUCUCUAACAAUAAAGCCUGGUCAGGUAUACAUAGCUAAAAAGUCUACUAAAUCACAACUACAACACAACCAGUCUUUACAUGAAUAAACAGUCUUUACAUCAAGAAGUGGGUGAAGUACAAAAUAAUUAAAUACAAAUUAGUUAUUAUUCCUCUGCUGUUGAAGUUAAUCCCUGCCAAGCACCCAGUCUUACGGUGGUCUUAAAGUGCAAGUCCCAAAAAAACAAAUAGACGAAACGGGACGACAUUAACAAAAAACACGGCGUUAACAAGAACGACGACAUUUCAACAUUACGGAAAGGGUAGGGACCAGGUCUUGUUUCUGAUUGGUCACAAGCUAAGUCAGUCUAACUUUCAAUUCCAGUUAUUACCUGCAAGCUUAAAACUGCGCUAAUUAAAAUAUCAAGGGCUAUUUAAGGAAGGGUAUUAUCGGAGACAGGUCUUAUAGAAACAUCACUGCCAUUUACAGCUGCGUGGAGACAGAAUAACAUUGUUGGUGCUAAGAUAGAAACCUGAAACAAAACAUUUUUUCCCCGCAAAGUCCUGAUAAGAUUGCUCUUCCCUCAUCUUAUUAGAGUAGACUCCGUCCCACUGAGUCCUUCUUUUAGUUUCGGUUUGGGCGUCCGAAUAUUUAAUGUUAAAAUAUGUUGACAGCAUAUCGAGGCUUGCAUCCAAUGAAAGCCUUUUAUGAAUAGCCCUCAAAUUUAUGAUCUUCUAUUAACAUUCAACUCAAGUUGAAUUACUGCACAGCAAACUCUAGGCUUUGAAAUGGACUCAGUUCAAUUUUACUGUAUCUUACAUGUCCGUGUGAGACCACUGAACAAACUGUAGAGCUGAGUUGCAGUAACGUCUUUCUCUGAGCUGGUCUGAUCUUAAUCUGAGUUGAAUUUCCUCUGCCAUACAGUAAUAUUUAUAACUCAAGUAUCACUCUAAAAGCAUAAUGCCUUAGAUUGAAUUCACAAAAUACAAACAAACACAGCAUCGAUAUUCCUCUAUGUAAUCUUUACUUACAGUAUAACAGCAUAGUAAUGGUUUAAUAUACCAGUUAAAGUAGCUGCUGUUAUGGCAGAUAAACUGGAAAAUGUGUGCUUUAACAUACAUGUCUGGCAUUAACUAAAAAACAAUUUAAUUUAUUUAAUUUCACUGAAAAGUCACUGAAAGUCACUGAAAAGAACAGAGACUCAUUCUAUCCAAUGUCAGUAAAACAAUGUUUAUGCAGUAACAUUACUGGACACCUUUUGUGGUCAUAUUCUAUGAAGUACCAAGUAAAACUGUAAAUGAUCUAAUUUUAGAAAUAGGUUUUACUUUUUUUUUUUAAAGUAUUCAGUUGUAGUAUAAUUCAUUCAGUGGUGCUUUCAAUAUUAAUUAUAAAUGUAAGCCAGUAGCUCUAAUAAAAUUUUGCAUUGUUCACACAUGCAAGUCUUACGGCUCUUCUCGCUUAUUGUAGCUGUGAUAAUCUCAUGAAUCCCACACUGCAGUGACUGCUUAUUAGACCACGGAAAAGCAAACUAUGGACCGCAUUCUUAUCAGGUCGUUGCUUAUCGUACCAUUAGAAUAUUUUCAUACACACUACUUUACCUGCACUUUUGUAUUCUCCUUUUUCUUAGGGUUCUUUUAGCAGAAGAAGAAGGUUUGCCUCUCCUCCGACUUCUUUUUUCGAUGAUGGAGGAAUGUAGUGAGGUUCGGCAUAUUUGAAGUUGUUGGCGAAGCUAUGCAAACAAAUGAAGGUUAAUACUCUGUGUAAACCAUUUCUCCCCGUUCUGUAAUGUUAAAAGAUAGUUUAAGAACAUAAACGACCAUCCGAAAGUGUAAGUCUUAGUUCUUACGGAGUUACGUGUUAGUGUGAUUCACUGUGUUGUGACUACCCACAUGGUAGUCGAAUAUUACUGGACGCAGAUGAUAUUCUGAUGGCGUCACAGACUGAAGAAUGCAUGAAACAUGUCAGGAACGCUCGGGUGAGGACCCAAAUGCACAGCGUACACAGGUUGACGGUGAUCAAAAGGGUGGUUUAUUCCAGGUUUAGGCAGAGACAGCGUCAGGGACAGGCAAGGUUCAUACACGAUCGAUCAGCAAAACCAGGAUACAUGAAAACACGGCCGGACAGGAACAAUGAACUGGGGGAACAACGAUGACACACGAAACAACGAUCUGGCAAGGGACUAUGGGAACAGGUGGUGGUUAAAUACAAAGUGACUUGAUUACUGAUAACGUGCAGGUGUGGGUAAUAAUGACCGGGUGAAGCAGGAACAGCUGUGAUGUAACGUAAACCGGAAGGUGAAGCUAGAACCAAAAACAGAGACCGGGAGAUUACCAAAAUAAAACAGGAACUACGGUGCUAAAACGGGACACAACAAGAAACAAAACCUCAGAUCGUGACAAAACAUACUGUAGCACUUUUUUCAUUUCUGGCCACAAGGUCAGUAAAAACAAACUAGCUGUUGAAGAAAGAAGGUAAAUUUUUAAAACAAAUCAUAUCAGCAAGUGGACAAAAAAAUGAUCCAAAUAAAUGUUCAAAAGUCAGAAAACCUAGACCAGAUUUACAGGACAACCCAAUACCUGGUUCUGUAGUUGUCUUUGUGGAUGGAUCGAGCACAAAAUCUGAAAUUGAGUGACUAUGCAGUUUUGACUGGUGGUGAGACCAUUUUUUUUUUUUUAAGCAGUACAAAUACCAGAAAAAAAAUAGCCAUUUGAUGCACUGAUGCAAACGCACUGCUCAUACUAAUGCUAAAGACAGAGUGUUAAAAGUAAAGGCUAAAGACAGCACACUCCUACAACAAAUGCAAGACAGCACUCCCAAAAGUGAAAAAGAUGAAUGGACUUAAAAGAGCAACUGUUAAUACAAAGUUACUAUGUUUGACAAGAGGGGGAACCUUUCCUACCAGAAAUCCUCUACAAAUAAGCAACAGUAUUGAGCCAUGGGCCUUGCCAUGUCUCCUUGGGGGGGGGGGUGGUACAGAUAAUGAACAAGUACUAUACUACUUAUGGAUUUACAAGUUAUUCUAAAAAUCUUGUUCCCAAUGCAUCAUGUGCGCUAAACAUAACCCUCAAUGAAAUAUUCAACAAGAACAUUCCUUAACGCAGAAUAUCCAUUUCAAUAUUUACAUAUGGAUUUUUGUGAAUUAACUACAGUAGAUAAAAGGUAAAAAGCAGUGUUUGAUAAUUAACCUUUUUCCAAAUGGGUAGAGGUGUUCCCCAUAACCACGAAUGAUGCACUAGCUGUAUAUAUAAAUACUAGAACGAAACAUAAUACCUCUCUUUAGAAUACCAGAAAGAAUUUAUAGUGAUGACGGACCACACAGAUCUUUCCUACCUGCUACUAUUAGACUAUAUAACCAGAACUGUUAACUACCUCUCGCUACAUUAACUCACCCACUGCAUUAAAGUGUCGAAGGUGUUAAAGGCAGGUGCAGGUUGGUGACUGGGUGUUCGUCAGAGUCAUAAAAUGCAAGAAUUGGACCUCACCCCGAUGGGAAGCCCACACAGAGUGACAUUGGCAACACCUACAGCCUGCAAAGUCCAAGGCCUCUCUAGGUGGAUACACAACACACACACUGUAAAAGACAACAGGUACAGGCAACUGAGUAGUAUUGUCCAUGAGAAGAUACCCAACUGAGGGAGGGGAAAAGUCUGCCUACAAAGGGGGUCAGCAGCGUUUAGAGCACUGGUCGUCUCAACGGCAGUGAAGAAACCAGCGGUACCCUCUCUCACUUAAGGGGACAUUCUCAGGAGAUACUAUGAGGGGACACUGUCCAGCCACGGUAGUUGUACUAACUGCCCUUGUACUGUUGAUUGAUGCUAAGCCACUCCCUAACCUCAUCGAGGUAUCCAUGAACAGUUUAUUUUGAAGAAGCAAACAAAAAAACACUCCUUAAAAACUAAACAAAAUGCACCAGGAGGCACAACAUAGCGGGGCUAAGGCUUGGCAACCUGGGUCUGAACAAACCGACAUGGUAACACUGGCAUCAUGGCAUGGACACAAGGCUAAUACAUGGCGUGAAUGCGAGGCUAAUACAUGGGGUGAAUGCGAGGCUAAUACAUGGCAUGGACAAACAAAACUAAAACUACACAUGAACAACAGAACUAGAGCAUGGCAACCAACCUGACAUGACCAGCAUGGUGCGAUGAGGUGAUACAGUGACAAGGCAGUAGUGAGACGAUGACACAGCACAGAGUGCUGUGCUGCAGGAGUCUUUAAAGGGAGGCAGAGGGAAAGUGCAGGUGUGGCGAGUUGGGCUGAUUGCUAGGAGUCUACAGAGGGAAUAAGAGGUAGUGGGCAUGGUCCAAAGUCGAGGCGUGGCAUGGUGAGGGAGAAGGUGUGGUCCAGGGUAACUUCUCCACAGACAUCUUAUUUGAUGUUCCUUUUCCUCCUCAGUUCAAGGGACACUGUUUCCAGAGCAGUAGCUUUCCCCUUUUUUAAGGAAGGAAUUCGCCAACUCAGUAGAGGAAGUUACCCUGGAACACUGCCACAUUGUGAAGGUGCCUUGCACUCCCAGUGCCACCCAUUUCAACACUUCUGAGGCACCAAAGGGAGUUCAGUGUGUCUCUUAUUAUGAUGGUCCUGAUUUAAUGGGAACCCUCCCACAGUCUGUUAUCAACUAUGUCUGUGGACACACAAUCUAUGUGCAUCUUCCAUCCGAUUGGGUAGGCUGUUGUGUUCCUGUUUAUGUUUCAGAUGGUUCUUACGUGAUAACACCACAGCAGACGACUUCCAAGCGAGAGAUCGACCUGAAGAAAAAGUGAUCUGGGGAUCAGACGUUCCCAUGGACAAAAAGCUCUGGACUACAGGCCAGAAAGUGGCACUAUCACUAUUUACAAGGUUGGGGGUAGGAAAAAUCAUGCUAAGAGUUGAAACCAUAAAUUAUUGCAUGACCCAACAGGCAAUCAGUGACCUACAGCACAUAUCCAAUGUGCAGGUGGCUGACGUAGUGUAAGAUGAAUCCUGGUUUGAUUGGUUUAGGUCUGGCACAUGGAGUGACAUUCUGAUGAAGAUUUUUGGACCGGUUCUACUGAUUGUGUUGUGCGUAAUUCCCUGUUUGGGGGCCACGAUCAUCAGGCUGGUGAAUCAAGGCCUUCUCAGGGUGUGCACAGUCAUGCACUCUCGACAAAUACACUAUACACCUUUGAAGCUUAAUAACUGUGAAGAGAACCUCCACGAUGUUGACGGAAAUGGACGCUAAACUGUACAUAUUGUGCUUCUGUGCUUUUGACCCUGCCUACGAUGUUGUAACAUUUAUCCAUGUUUUAUGACGGCUGUUUUAUGAUGCUUCAAAGGAGGGAAAUGUUGAAGAAAUACUGUAUUUAAUCAUUGAAACAAUGUUUCCUCCCUUCUCCUCUGCAAGAAAUAGGGAGUACCGGUGUGUAGCAUCCUUAUCUGAUAUGCCCAAAGCCUGCUUUGUGCAGAAGAUAUUUCUCACGUGCGACUAUGCACCUCCCAGAAUGGAAUACAUAUUAUGAGCUGAAUCCUUGUUUCUCUUCAGUGGAAGGAAGUUGCCUUUGCUGUAAAUUGCUCACUCCUUGCACGUAAAAUCCUGAGGUCUCAACUGAUUGUCUGUUUUAUUAAAGAUUUAUAAAGAAAACUAACAAUUUCCCUAACAGUGUGCGCAGUUAAACAUGUUCUGCGAGUUAAGUUAAUUUAAAAAGUGUUUCCAUAAACCAUUUUUCUUGUUGUUUUACACUUUGGCGCCAGUGCAGUCACAAGCCAGGUGUCACAAAUUAAAGCCUCCACCCUCACCUCGGCUUUCACUGUGUCCACUGUCCGCACGGUGCUGGAUCUUAACUCCCCCCUUGGCCACUGAAACACACAGGCCAGAUGGCAACAGCCCAGUCAGGGGGAAACAGAGACUGGUGCAAUUGCAAUACAUACUUCCAGAAAAGGAAACAUAACUUGGACUGCCAUACCCCGUGUGACCAUGAGGGGCACCCAGGGACACACAGUCACACACUUUUGGUCGGGUAGUGGGGACUUCUGAUAAAUUUGCAGGGGCAGUGUCAAAUACUUUCUUGGAGCUGUUGGUGAGAUUGUGCCAGUGGGGAUCUAAUUUAAGGCCCCACGUGUAAUUGUGUAAUCAUGUUAAAGUCCUCAUGUGGUCAGAAAAACAAGUGCGCGCACACACACACACACACAUAUAUGAUAUAUAUAUUACUACAUUUACGCAUGUAUUUCUUAGAGUGUAGCCACAGAACGGCUGCAGGGUGUGAAUGCAGUGGUUGAGAGACAUAGAGAGAUGACAGUGGUUUCUGAGGAUCAGGAGGAGCAGCUGCCCACCCAGCGAGGCAUUGUGUAGAAAAGCUACUUAUGAAUGGACUGUAACAGUGAAACUGUCUAUCACAAAAACUGUAAACUGUCACUGUAAUUGCAGUAUAUUGUUAAGAAAUGAAGUUAUCUACAGGUAUAGUGGUACACAAUAUAAAGUAGUUUGCUUUCUUUCGUUUGAGACCUACAAUGCUGCCACUGGAUGUAAAUGACUAAACCUGUGUUAAAAUGUAGCUCAUUAGCGUCACCUUAACGUCACUAUCUUAACAAUUCAAUAACAAUUCUCUUAUCUACAAUAUUAAACUACUACUGUGCCAGUAACAGGCUGGACAACAAGUUCUUGUUUAGAAGGUUAAUUGAAUAAACAUAACAGUAGAUAAAUGGUAAGGUGUUGCACAGUAUACUUCUUUCUCCAGCUUAUUGGGAGGACAAAGACUUCAAUCUAGGGAAAACAGAAUGUGUUAUUUCCAGGAACCACCUUGUGUUGAUUGUAUCAGUACCUAAACAAUUUACAAAGUCAGAACCAAACUAGAUGUUUAAAUCAGUCAGAUCUGAACACAAAGAGAUCAGAGACAAGUAUUGAAACAAAGAACAGGUGAAUAUCAAUUCAUCUAAUCUUAUGACAUAAUACAUGCGUUAAUUCACUCUUCAUAUGACCUUAAACCUUCUCAUUCCCUCCCUCUGAACUCAGUAAAUAAGAUAAAGUCAUAAUAAAUUCAUAUAGCAUCAGCUGGCUGUGCAGUUAUCUCCUUCGCUACACACUGAUGAAUGGCGCCACCACAGAACAAGCGCAACUUAAACGGUGCAGACUCUAAAUGCAACAGCAGCAUUAAAAUAUGAUGACAUGGUUCUUAGUGGUUGUCACUGUUACCUCAGAGCCAGAAGAAGCCCAGGAGCCUCUGGAGUUUACAUGUUCUCCCGUGUCUUCAUGGGUUUUCUCCCACAGCCAGGUUGAUUGGAGCUGCUGCAGAUAUUCACAUUGGAACAAAACUCUAUGCUUCCUUUGUUUAUUUUAAAAAGACAAAAUUGAAAAUUAGUUUAAAAAACCCUCAAAUGGAUUUCUAUAAGCAAAAACAUCAAACAAUUUUUAAAAAUUCCAUCCAAUUAAUCGGAUUAAUCAAAAAUAAUCGACAAAUUAAUCAAUUGUCUAAAUAAUCGUUAGUUGCAACCCUAAUUCCUCCUCUCCGCCUCUUCCUCCUGUCCUCGUCUCCUGUUCUCUUGAGCUCCUCCUCCCUAUGAACCUGAACCUUCGUCCCAUACUCGUCUUGCCUCUUCCUCCCUCUAAAUGUAAAUGUGAAGAAAUAUGAUUCAUUUUUACAUAAGUUCAACAUUCAUACAUUCAUUCCUACUCCUCUACUUCCCUUGAAAUCAAGUAUUAGACUAAGAAAACCACAAGAGCAGAUGACUGAAUAUUACAAUGCAUCUGUAAAAAAAAUGAUAUUUACAUUGAAGAGAAGAUAAUUCUUGCUUGUUUUGGCCUCCAACCCCCCUACUCCUCAUUCUCCUCCUGUUUACGUUUCCUGUUUUCCACAUCUUCUCCCUAUGAAUAUAAAUAUUAUAAAAAUUAAGUAUCAGAUUCACAGAAAGACAUGAGCAGGCGACUGAAGGUUAUGUGUAUGAUAUCUGAUAUCUGAUAAAUGGAUAUUUAGAAGGUUGGCCUCCAAACUCCUCUCUUUCUCCUCGCCACCUCCUUCUAAAGCUAUAAUUGAUAAAGAAAGGUGAUUAAGAUUAUAUAUUUAAUGAUUUGUCUAUCAAAUCAGAAAAUCAUUCUUGUUUUUUUAAACCAGAAAAAAUAUGCUUGCUUUUUUUAUUAAUUUGUCCAAAGAGCAUUAUGUAGAAAAUGUACCUAUAAAUUAUUCUGCUUUCUCAUUUUUCUAUUACAUACUAUUGUCAACCAAUCAGUUGACAUAAUGGUCAGUACAUCAGCCACUGCUCCCUGUGGUGUGGUGCAGGAUUAGGAUGGCAGACAGCCAUGUGCACCCUCCAUAACACAUGAUGCUGCAGUCCUCUCCUCUGCCACUGAGGAGCUUCACUGGGAAGACAUGAGGCCAUGUGCCCCCAGUUCCAGUGGAACUGGACCCACCAUCGCUGUGGAGAAAAUUAUUGUUACAGUAGGAUACAGAAGCUGCCCUGCCAGGCGCUGAACUCAGCCUUUAGGGUGAAAGGUCAAUCCAACCACCAUGCUGAAAUUUAAAAACAGACGCAAAGGCUAGUUCUCCUGAUUAAAUUGUACAGGUAAACUUGUGAUAAAGAAAUAAAAAAGAAAGAAAGGCCCCAGCCAGAUGCAAAAACAGUAGGAACAGUUUGUCCUACUGUCUUUGCAUCUGACUGGGGAGAAACUGGUCCUACUGGUUAGAAACAGAGGCCAGAGGAUGAAAAAGCUGCUGCUCCAUCCAAGCAGGCGCCCUGGGUCAAAUACUAGACCCGUUUUACCGUGAGUCACAGUUUCUCACAGUAAUACGGCGCCUCCUGGGAACAGCCCCCUCCUCAUCCCUGUCCUCCCUACCUCUCCUGGAGGAAGAGCAGAAGCCUCGUCAUCCCCAUCAUAUGCUGCAGUAAUGCUUUCCUCAAUGUCCACCUCAGAGCCUGAGUCCUGGAACACAGGAGACAGGACAUGGGCAGCUUCGGUAGUGGAGGCGCAUGGCGGCUCAUAAGGAGACACAAAGGGUUGAACCAGAGGGGAAGGAGGCUCUGCUGCUGCUAUUGUGCAACAGCGC